rnacentral:rRNA from 1 species
UACGUAGGGCGCAAGCGUUAUCCGGAAUUAUUGGGCGUAAAGAGCUCGUAGGCGGCUUGUCGCGUCUGCCGUGAAAGUCCGGGGCUCAACUCCGGAUCUGCGGUGGGUACGGGCAGACUAGAGUGAUGUAGGGGAGACUGGAAUUCCUGGUGUAGCGGUGAAAUGCGCAGAUAUCAGGAGGAACACCGAUGGCGAAGGCAGGUCUCUGGGCAUUAACUGACGCUGAGAAGCGAAAGCGUGGGGAGCGAACAGG